AAAUGAGUUCAAAUAUUGCAGGUGAUAAUAAAUCUCUCAAUUAAAAGCAAACCAAACAUUAUUAUCACACACAGUAAAUGUGGCGUGGUGGUGCUUCUGCUUGCUGUACAUUAAAAUGCACCCACAUGGUUCAGAUUCAACUAGGGAUUUCAAUUACAAACUUCCACAUAAAUUUCUAUUGCAGGAAACAAGUACAACUUAAGUCCUGUGUAUACCGUAUGGCACGCGCUGACGGUGUCUUAAAUAUUUCACUACCCAUUAAUUACAUAUACAUUUUUUUUUCACAUAUAUGUUAAAAUUCACUAAACCUAGCAGAAAAAUAGAAAGUUGCGACUUCUUUUUCCUUUUUUAAUUUAUUGGCUCUCUA
rnacentral:misc_RNA from 1 species